GGGUUUGUGAUAGUCCAAAAUGUCGGACAUCAUAAUAAGAAAAUCAUUUUACUUGUCAUUUGACUUACUGUUUUCUAUUUAUUAGACCAGUUGCCUUUUUUUCUGAAGUCUAAGGUCUGAAGUCUCCCAGUUUUACCUUUGCUACAGUAUUUAUCCACCUUAUAACACAAACAUUUUUGAGACUUGAGACAAUCUGCAUUAGGAAAAUUGACUUCUGCAUGCUGCAUGCAGCCUAACCGGCUAUACAUUUUCUAAUCUCUCAUUGAUUUUUAACCUCUCUCUCUACUUUCUUAUCUCAGUCUCUUGUACAGUCUGAUACAGCAUUUUGUUGUGGCUCUCGCCUGGGCCACCUGCAUGACUUUGCUAAGAAGUUUACUGUCUUGUUUCAGGGGACUAAUUGCUUUGUUUACCUAUUUAUUUAUUAGUUUUUUUAUUUGUUCUUUUGUUUUGUGGCAGUAUUUAGCAGCUUUGGUUUGCACUGCAUUAUGUUAUUAGUCAUUAUUAGUUAUUAUUAUUAGAUAAUUUGCAGAUCUUUUUUGCCUUAUAGGGUCAACACUGAAGCGACUGUGUCUUGGCAAAGAGCGCGGCAGCAGGUCUGCAGCUGCAUCAGGGGCUUUCAGUCUAUCACAGCAGCCUCCCACUGGUGCCACACCUCCUCCCCAUCAGCCAGUGAUAGGGCUCGCCCAAGCUCAGGCCAAUAACAGCAACAACAAGACAGGCACAUUCACUGGCACAUCAAUGAGUGUCAAUGAAAACAACCUACCUGAGGACUUGCAACGACUGAUGGACGACUGGUCCCAGGAAGUUCUUAUUGUCACCCACCGACCACGCACUAACUCUCUAAGCAUCAGCGGGCAACAUCUGUGGGAUCAGGCUUUGCCUCAAACACGUGGACAACAGGCCAGGGCUUCACAUGUAUUAUCAUGGACAGCCUCAGGUCCAGAGGCCUGCACUUUGCCUGUUGCAUGGCCUGACAGUCCCUCUACAAAGCCUCAUCCCAGGUAUCAGCUUCAAUCUUCUGCUCCCUUCGGAGCCUUGACUUCUCCUCUAUCUGUUCACCAGUGGCCUGGGCUGCUUUUCCCUCUCCCUUCAGGAAUUUUUGCCUUUCCUGCUGUGCCCCCAGCCCAGGACACCUUCGGCCCAAUUCCGACUCCAUCACAUAAGACACCGAACCCUAAAGCCAGGACUCUUUAACCUGAGUAGCAUUGUGUCUUCCAACUCUGUUACCAAAAAUAAAUUAUUAGUUCUAGUCAAUCUUGCAUAUACUGUACAUAUCCAAGAAGCCUGUAUGUAAUCAUAUGUACAUAACCGUCUCCAUUCUUGAGUUUAAUGUUUGAUGUUGAUUUGCACCAACAUACCUCAUGUCCAUAUUACAGUACAUAAUCAUUGAGUGCAGUAUAAUGGUUGUGGUACAUUUAAAUAUGUAGUUAGCCCAAUCAGGCGUAACAGUGCAGAUUCUUGUCAUUGCAUUUGUAUGUACGUUGGCACUCAUUGAAUGUAUACAAUGUACGGUUCAUCCCUGCUUUGCUGAUAUAAAUUGUUCAUGCUUGUGUUGCUCAUGUCACCCCUAUAGAUAAGCUGCUGCGUGUAUAUAUCAAUUCUUGUUAGGCUGUACAGCUCCUGUCAUCGUACAGUUAACAUUAGAUAACCCAUAGGUUGGUGCUGCAGCUAGUAUGUGUCUUAAUCCAACACCUUGUUAGCCACCAUCAUGCUGUCACUGUGAAGACUUGGCAUCCUGGUCACUAGGGCUGGUUGCUUUAUUCUGCUCUCUCAGUCCAAGGAUAGGUUUCAUUUUUCAUCUAUGAAAUGCUUCCAGCACAAGCGCUAGAAAUAUCCUUAAGAGGUUUGAAUGAACUUGAAUUUUAUCUUCAGGUGAAAAAACACCUGUGAGAGUGCCUUGAAUUGCAGUUUCAGUUUUCUGAAGAAAAGCAUUUAGAAUCAAAGCAGACACUAAAUACUCUAUAUGUACUUUCACCUUCAAAGGUAAAUUAUGGGAUUUGAAUCAUGAAUGUGGACUGAAACAUAUGUGAUUUAGCCUCCUAACAUACUUAAACUCUAUAAUCUGGUCAUGUUGCAGUUCAUGUGAUACCACUGAUUGUAAAAUAAAACUGUCCAAAACUGAGUUAGGUUAUUUAAUAAUAAGGAUUUUUACUUGUUCACUCAUUUUUGUGGGAUUGGUCUAUCACCUGCACCACAGCCUGCAUGAAUACACUGAUAUUCUGAAUGUGCACAGGUUGAUGUGGUGAGUUACAGUAGGAUACUAUUUGGAGAAACUGGCACUGAAACCACAUGACAAGGAGGGCUGAAGGACUCAACAUAUGAGUCAAAAUCAUAACCAUCCCAUACCUCUACUAAUGCAAUCUGUAGCUUUAUAUAUUGUUGCCUUUGCAGUUUUUAAGAGAUUACGGUGUGGUUGGUUGUUGUUUGAUAAAUGCUGAUGAUAUGAUGAUGAAAAAAAAGUGAAUUACUGAGAAGCCACAAAUGUUAGACGUGAUUUGUACAGUGUGUAGGUUUUCUAAAUUAUGUUAAUCAGAUGGAACCAUCAUAAGAUCAUCACUCUCAUACAGCUAAUUGUAUUUAUUAAGGCUGACUUAAUUCAAAGAUCCAACAGAUUUAGUUCACCAAUUUCAGUUCUUUAUAUUAUAAUAUGGCCACAAACACUCAACUCUCAAUACUUACUAUUCUUGUAUAACUUCUAGAAUACCUUCUUAGAAUACAACAAGUAAGAAGUAUCUAUAAUGGAUCAGUGCAAUUUGUGCUGACUGAGCAGCAGUUAUGAUCCCUUUGUUUUUUUCAAACCACGACCCCUUCGAUCUUUACAUGCUGAAACAGAUAAAGGGGGAAUCAAACAAUUUAGCAUUUCACUUGGUCAAGCUCCAGAAACACUGGAACCCAAAAUUAGCAUAAUAAAGGUCAGUAUCAUUGAGAUUUUUCAUUUUAUAAAAAGCUUUUGCCAGAGCCACAGAAGACAUUAUGCAAUGGUUUGCACAAGUAGUGAACCUUUUGAUGAGUUAGCUUAGAGCUUAAUGAGACAUUUGGUGGAAUCCUCAUUGAAAAUCCUUAUUUGUUUUUACCGUGUGACAAUAUUUUUUAUGUAAACUGAAUUUCUGUCUCAAAGACAGAAUUUAUUCCAUGAACAUUUUUUCUUUUACAUCUUCUAUGCAGCUGUUUUGUUUGUGCUUUACACAGUAACUCCUGUCUCUCUGCUUGCAAUAAAAGGUAGUUGUUUGAUUGCUUUUGCCUGCUGCAACACAAUUUCUCCGCACUUUCCUGAACUCAUCAGAUCAGUAGUCUUACAAAAUAAAAAAAGUUUAAACUAAAGACAGAAAUAAUAAAAUCAUUUUUUGAAUGACAGCAUACAAUAUUUGUUCUGUACUUGUUCUAUAAACACAGCAUAGUGAGCAUAAAG
rnacentral:lncRNA from 1 species